GCAAUAUUUGAAGUGCAAUAUUUUUGCUUUACAUUCAUUGUGGAUUGCAUUGAUUUCUGUUGAAAUAACGUAUUGUGUUGGUAAAUGAAACAGAGUGAAAAGGAAAAUGUUAUUUUCAAAAAACGAUUUAGGGAGAACUCAAUUUUCUCCCAAAUAACAAUCUUCUUGUAAGAGAGAGAGGGGGAAAAAUCUACUUUACCAGAAAGAGGAAAUAUAAAUAAUCCAUUCUCUACAGAAUCAGAAAAGCGAACUUUGUGUUGCUGGCUCUGCAAAGAAACUGCCACUUCGUGUCCCUAUGUAAUGAGAAAAAGACAAGCAGCAGAUUUACAGCUUAGAAUAAUUCUCAUAUGUCCUUUCUUGCUGCAGACAUCAAAGACUGUAUUGAGGAUUUGGGCAGAAUGUCCAGUUAUCACAUUCCAGCAUUACUUUAGCAAUUUAAUAUUUAAAUC